rnacentral:tRNA from 1 species
CCGGGAUAGCUCAGCUGGAAAAGCAAAGGACUGAA